AGGAUUAGAUACCCGGUUAGUCCUAGCAGUAAACGAUGGCUACUAGGUGUGGGGGGUGUUGACCCCUCCUGUGCCGAAGCUAACGCAUUAAGUAGCCCGCCUGGGGAGUACGGUCGCAAGACUAAAACUCAAAGGAAUUGACGGGGACCCGCACAAGCAGCGGAGCGUGUGGUUUAAUUCGAUGCAACGCGAAGAACCUUACCUGGGCUUGACAUCUAUUUGCAACACUCUGAAAGGGGUGCCUCCUUCGGGACAGAUAGACAGAUGCCGCAUGGCUGUCGUCAGCUCGUGUCGUGAGAUGUUGGGUUAAGUCCCGCAACGAGCGCAACCCUUGUCCUUAGUUGCAUAUCUAAGGAGACUGCCGGUACAAAACCGGAGGAAGGUGGGGAUGACGUCAAGUCAGCAUGGCUCUUACGUCCAGGGCUACACACACGCUACAAUGGACAGUACAAUGAGAAGCCACCCCGUGAGGGGGAGCGGACCUCGUAAAGCUGUCCUCAGUUCAGAUUGCACUCUGCAACUCGAGUGCAUGAAGGUGGAGUUGCUAGUAACCGCGUGUCAGCAUAGCGCGGUGAAUAUGUUCCCGGGUCUUGUACACACCGCCCGUCACGUCAUGGGAGUUGGCAACACCUGAAGUCCAUGAGCUAACCUUAGGGAAGCAGUGGCCGAAGGUGGGGCUGAUGACUGGGACGAAGUCGUAACAAG
rnacentral:rRNA from 1 species